UCGAGAAUCUUCCACAAUGGACGAAAGUCUGAUGGAGCGACACCGCGUGAUUGAUGAAGUCCUUCGGGACGUAAAGAUCUUUUAUGAGGGAAGAAGUUUAUUGACGGUACCUCAUGAAUAAGGGGCUCCUAAUCUCGUGCCAGCAGGAGCGGUAAUACGAGAGCCCCAAGCGUUAUCCGGAAUUAUUGGGCGUAAAGGGUGCGUAGGCGGUUGUGUUAGUCAUAUGUUAAAGACCCGAGCUUAACUUGGGGAAGGCAUGCGAAACGGCACGACUUAGAAUGAAGGAGAGGUGUGCGGAACUCAUGGUGUAGGGGUGAAAUCCGUUGAUAUCAUGGGGAACACCAAAAGCGAAAGCAGCACACUGGCCUUUUAUUGACGCUGAGGCACGAAAGCGUGGGUAGCGAAUGGG
rnacentral:rRNA from 1 species